GUUAAGCGACUAAGCGUACACGGUGGAUGCCCUGGCAGUCAGAGGCGAUGAAGGACGUGCUAAUCUGCGAAAAGCGUCGGUAAGGUGAUAUGAACCGUUAUAACCGGCGAUGUCCGAAUGGGGAAACCCAGUGCAAUUCGUUGCACUAUCGUUAACUGAAUACAUAGGUUAACGAGGCGAACCGGGGGAACUGAAACAUCUAAGUACCCCGAGGAAAAGAAAUCAACCGAGAUUCCCCCAGUAGCGGCGAGCGAACGGGGAGCAGCCCAGAGUCUGAAUCAGCUUGUGUGUUAGUGGAACGGUCUGGAAAGUCCGACGGUACAGGGUGAUAGUCCCGUACACCAAAAUGCACAGGUUGUGAACUCGAAGAGUAGGGCGGGACACGUGGUAUCCUGUCUGAAUAUGGGGGGACCAUCCUCCAAGGCUAAAUACUCCUGACUGACCGAUAGUGAACCAGUACCGUGAGGGAAAGGCGAAAAGAACCCCGGCGAGGGGAGUGAAAAAGAACCUGAAACCGUGUACGUACAAGCAGUGGGAGCACCUUCGGGUGUGACUGCGUACCUUUUGUAUAAUGGGUCAGCGACUUAUAUUCUGUAGCAAGGUUAACCGUAUAGGGGAGCCGCAGGGAAACCGAGUCUUAACUGGGCGUUAAGUUGCAGGGUAUAGACCCGAAACCCGGUGAUCUAGCCAUGGGCAGGUUGAAGGUUGGGUAACACUAACUGGAGGACCGAACCGACUAAUGUUGAAAAAUUAGCGGAUGACUUGUGGCUGGGGGUGAAAGGCCAAUCAAACCGGGAGAUAGCUGGUUCUCCCCGAAAGCUAUUUAGGUAGCGCCUCGUGAAUUCAUCUUCGGGGGUAGAGCACUGUUUCGGCUAGG
rnacentral:rRNA from 1 species